rnacentral:lncRNA from 1 species
CCGUGAGUGGCCUGAUGUGUCCCCUGGGACAUCAGGACUUAAUGCUGUAUGUUGUCCACGCGUGAAUGGUGGAGCCAGAGGUGACAACAUUUACGUGGGAAGCCAAGUCUCUGCAGCAGCUUCCAGCACUGACCAGGGCAUCCACACUUGUGUACAACCCGGUAGAAGCAUCAACCGUAUUUUUGAGGAUAACCAUGAGGAACCCAUUUCCCCAGGGAUAGAAAUCAGCAAAGAGAUUGGGCAAAAAAAAGACUCACUUGAAGGGCUGCCCCAGUCUCCACGUCAAGGUCAAAAGUCAAGGAGGAUUUAGUUACAAUACCCAGAAAGGCACCUACCUCCCAGGAGAAGGCUUCUGUAAUCAUGUGAGAAAGUAAGAGCAGAAAGAAACAAAUUUGUUUAAAUUAGAUGCUGAUACAAGCCCCACAGAGGCUCUCGCGAUUUGCCAUUUAAAACAGAAAGACAAAAAAAAAAAAAAAUUAAAAAAACAAAAACAAAAACAGAAAGAAGGAAGAGGGCGGGCUGUGCCGACUUCCUUCAAGACUCAGCAAGCUGGACUGAGGCAGAAAUCGCCCAUAAGGCCUUCUGGUCUCCGAUGUCGGGGAACACACGUGUGGGUCCUGACUCUCAGCCUUGUCUGACCCUCACUGCACGUGGAAAGCAGCCCGGCGUCUGCUGGUGCGCAGGUGCUGAGCAGGUCUCAGCCUCCGUGGACUCACUGGUAACACAGACAAGGCCUGUAAGAACCGGGCUUGUUCCAGCCCAAUCCUGGUGCCAACAGGAGCAUGGAGACUCCUCACGGGGCCACUCAGAACUCCCACUUGGUGAAGAAAACCUUCCCGAAUGUUCCACACGCCAGGAGAGGGGCCCUGCGGCUGCGUCUUCAUGUAUCAGGUUAGCUGGCAGCUCAUUUCCAGUCCUGGAUGGUAAAAGGAUUCACAAAUGGAAGCUUCGAUGGCAUUUGUAUUGA